GACGAAGGAUGCAAGCGUUAUCCGGAUUCAUUGGGUUUAAAGGGAGCGUAGGUGGCCUUAUAAGUCAGUGGUGAAAUCUCUGGGCUUAACCCAGAAAUUGCCAUUGAUACUGUAGGGCUUGAGUACAGUUGCUGUGGGCGGAAUAUGACAUGUAGUGGUGAAAUACAUAGAGAUGUCAUAGAACACCGAUUGCGAAGGCAGCUCACAAAAACUGUAACUGACACUGAGGCUCGAAAAGUGCGGGGGAUCAAACAGG
rnacentral:rRNA from 1 species